GACAACAUGCGCUGAGUCUUGUGGGAAAGGGUAAAGAGAAGAUUAGCAUGCCCUGCACAAGAUGACACCCACAAAUCGAGAAAUGAUCCAAUUUUUG
rfam:Glycine soja cultivar W05 scaffold27_8, whole genome shotgun sequence.